rnacentral:tRNA from 1 species
GCUGGCGUAGCUCAGAUGGUAGAGCAGCUGAUUUUUAAUCAGCCGGUCGGGGGUUCGACUCAUCACGCCAGCACCA